CUUUACUGUAGCUUUACAUUGGACUUUGAACAGAUCUGUGUAGGAUAGGUGGGAGGCUUUGAAGCCAGGACGCUAGUUCUGGUGGAGCCGACGUUGAAAUACCACCCUGGUGUGUUUGAGGUUCUAACCUUGGCCCGUUAUCCGGGUUGGGGACAGUGUAUGGUGGGCAGCUUGACUGGGGCGGUCUCCUCCCAAAGUGUAACGGAGGAGUUCGAAGGUACGCUAGAUACGGUCGGAAAUCGUGUUGAUAGUGCAUUGGCAUAAGCGUGCUUGACUGCGAGACUGACAAGUCGAGCAGGUACGAAAGUAGGACAAAGUGAUCCGGUGGUUCUGUAUGGAAGGGCCAUCGCUCAACGGAUAAAAGGUA
rnacentral:rRNA from 1 species